GAUGAACGCUGGCGGCGUGCCUAAUACAUGCAAGUCGAGCGAACAGAUGAGGAGCUUGCUCCUCUGACGUUAGCGGCGGACGGGUGAGUAACACGUGGAUAACCUACCUAUAAGACUGGGAUAACUUCGGGAAACCGGAGCUAAUACCGGAUAAUAUAUUGAACCGCAUGGUUCAAUAGUGAAAGACGGUUUUGCUGUCACUUAUAGAUGGAUCCGCGCCGCAUUAGCUAGUUGGUAAGGUAACGGCUUACCAAGGCAACGAUGCGUAGCCGACCUGAGAGGGUGAUCGGCCACACUGGAACUGAGACACGGUCCAGACUCCUACGGGAGGCAGCAGUAGGGAAUCUUCCGCAAUGGGCGAAAGCUUGACGGAGCAACGCCGCGUAAGUGAUGAAGGUCUUCGGAUCGUAAAACUCUGUUAUUAGGGAAGAACAAAUGUGUAAGUAACUAUGCACGUCUUGACGGUACCUAAUCAGAAAGCCACGGCUAACUACGUG
rnacentral:rRNA from 1 species